rnacentral:rRNA from 1 species
AAUAUUGGACAAUGGGCGCAAGCCUGAUCCAGCAAUGCCGCGUGGGUGAAGAAGGCCUUCGGGUUGUAAAGCCCUUUUGUACGGGAAGAAAUCUCGUGGGUUAAUACCUUGCGAGGAUGACGGUACCGUAAGAAUAAGCACCGGCUAACUUCGUGCCAGCAGCCGCGGUAAUACGAAGGGUGCAAGCGUUAAUCGGAAUUACUGGGCGUAAAGCGUGCGUAGGCGGUUUGUUAAGUCCGAUGUGAAAGCCCUGGGCUCAACCUGGGAAUGGCACUGGAUACUGGCAGGCUAGAAUGUGGUAGAGGGGUGCGGAAUUUCCGGUGCAGCGGUGAAAUGCGUAGAGAUCGGAAGGAACAUCCGUGGCGAAGGCGGCACCCUGGACCAACAUUGACGCUGAGGCACGAAAGCGUGGGGAGCAAACAGG